rnacentral:rRNA from 1 species
GAUGAACGCUAGCGGCAGGCUUAACACAUGCAAGUCGAGGGGUAUAGUUCUUCGGAACUAGAGACCGGCGCACGGGUGCGUAACGCGUAUGCAAUCUACCUUUUACAGAGGGAUAGCCCAGAGAAAUUUGGAUUAAUACCUCAUAGUAUGUGAGAAUCGCAUGGUUUUCACAUUAAAGUCACAACGGCAAAAGAUGAGCAUGCGUCCCAUUAGUUAGUUGGUAAGGUAACGGCUUACCAAGACUACGAUGGGUAGGGGUCCUGAGAGGGAGAUCCCCCACACUGGUACUGAGACACGGACCAGACUCCUACGGGAGGCAGCAGUGAGGAAUAUUGGACAAUGGGCGCAAGCCUGAUCCAGCCAUGCCGCGUGCAGGAUGACGGUCCUAUGGAUUGUAAACUGCUUUUGACAGGAGAAACACCUCUACGUGUAGAGACUUGACGGUACUGUAAGAAUAAGGAUCGGCUAACUCCGUGCCAGCAGCCG